UAAUUGUAUACCAUGCAGUCUUUAUAUAUCAUCUUUGGAUUAGUUUUGGCAACAUUGAAAGGAAGAGAAGCAAAUGGGGCAUCUCUAUGCAUUGGAUUUUGAUGGAGUUCUCUGUGAUACCUGUGGAGAGACAGCUAUCUCUGCUCUCAAGGCUGCUAAGUUGAGAUGGCCAGCCUUGUUUGACAGUGUAGAUUCCGCCACAGAAGAUUGGAUUGUUGAACAAAUGAUUGCAGUGAGACCAGUGGUGGAAACUGGAUAUGAAACACUUUUACUUGUGAGAUUGUUGCUUGAGACAAGAGUUCCUUCCAUCAGAAAAUCUUCGGUGGCAGAGGGGCUCACAGUUGAGGGCAUAUUGGAGAACUGGUUCCAAUUGAAGCCUAUUGUCAUGGAAGAGUGGAAAGAGAAUAGGGAUGAUCUGAUAGAACUGUUUGGAAAGGUCAGAGAUGAUUGGUUGGAGAAGGAUUUCACUGGUUGGAUUCAAGCCAACAGAUUAUAUCCUGGUGUUACUGAUGCAUUAAGAUUUGCAAGUUCAAGAGUGUACAUUGUCACCACAAAACAGGGCCGCUUUGCCGAUGCUUUACUUAAAGAACUUGCAGGAAUAACUAUACCACCAGAAAGGCUAUAUGGUCUGGGAACAGGUCCUAAGGUAGAAGUGCUGAAGAAGCUUCAAAAAAUGCCAGAACAUCAAGGGCUGACACUACAGUUAAGAUUUCUGUGCACCCCAGAGCUUUGUGGAAGAUAGGCUUGCAACCCUUAAAAAUGUCAUCAAAGAGCCAGAGUUAGAUAAUUGGAACUUGUAUCUAGUGAAUUGGGGGUUCAACACUCAAAAAGAGAGGGAUGAAGCAGCAGCCAACCCCAGGAUUCAGCUUCUUGAGCUCUCUGAUUUCAGUAACAAGCUGAAAUAAUGGCUUCUUCCAUCUUAUUCAUAUGUAAACAAUGAUGAAAUCCUUGUGAAUUUCUAUUAUUACAAUUUACAACUGCAGCUAUCAUAAAUUCAAAAGAUCUUUUCAUUACAAA